GACGAACGCUGGCGGCGGGCUUAACACAUGCAAGUCGAACGAGUGGCGGACGGGUGAGUAAUGCUUGGGAAUCUGCCUUAUGGAGGGGGAUAACUACGGGAAACGGUAGCUAAUACCGCAUACCAUCGGAUGAGCCCAAGUGGGAUUAGGUAGUUGGUGGGGUAAAGGCUCACCAAGCCGACGAUCCCUAGCUGGUCUGAGAGGAUGACCAGCCACACUGGGACUGAGACACGGCCCAGACUCCUACGGGAGGCAGCAGUGGGGAAUAUUGCGCAAUGGGCGCAACCCGGACGCAGCCAUGCCGCGUGAAUGAAGAAGGCCUUCGGGUUGUAAAGUUCUUUCGGUGGCGAGGCGUUAACUACAGAAGAAGCACCGGCUAACUCCGUGCCAGCAGCCGCGGUAAUUC
rnacentral:rRNA from 1 species